GCGUGAGGGAGAGCGGGGCGGACCGGGCUAGGGAAGGUGUCUUACUCCUGCCUCUUCAUCCUGGACCUGUCUAAGCAGCAGUGGCCUCGAUCCUAGACCCCCACACGGACCCAGCCUUUGCAGAUGACCUGGAAGAGAGAGGAACAGCUAGAAGUCGUUAGGAUCGCAAAGACUAGGUUGUAUGAAGCUCUACCCAAGCCAUCGCUGAAAACAUCCCAUUUUACUCUUCUAAUUUCAAGAACUGUACCAGAGCAGUAUCCAAAGUGAUGGAUGUUGAUGCUACUGGACAUGCCACACAGCAGCUAAGAUAUGGUUGGAGUGAUUCACAAAUGCAGUAAACUUGUAUCUUCCUCCUCUGUGCACUGUAGCAACAGCCAGGAUGGCAUUAAAGAAGUCCUGAGGAUGAUACCUGGACACAGUGGGGUGUGGUAUUCACCUGCAGUGUAAAUACAGCAGUAAAUUUGCAGCCUUUUUACAAAUGCAAAAGCCAAGGUACGGGGUUGUCUCUACAUUAGGAAUGGUCAAUUGCUAGACCCAGAUGGAGAGUGACUGUAGACAGUUGGAGAUUUGAUAAAUCACCAUACAGGAUGUAAGUGGUAGCGCUGGGGAGGUAAUGCCACAAACCACAACUUUUACUCUCAUGCACCUUUGUAACUCCUGGUGUUUAAUACAGCCUUUGCAUCUACAUUAAACAGCUGUCUUUAAAGAAUCAUACUUUCGCACUGAUUCUGUGUCCCUUUCAGUGUUCAAGGACUGCCUCACCCCUCAAAUAAUUGUGCUUUCGAAGAGGAUGCAUUAAGAAAUGCCCAUGGACUCUCUGUAGAAGAUAAGCCAAUCAAAUCAAAAGUUGGCUUUGUAUUAGAAAUAAGUGAUGUUUGAUGAAAAAUUUGUUUUCUCUUGGUGAUGAAUUUUAGAGUUACAAAACUCUUAAACCAACCUGUUAAAUGUAGAUUCCUAAUUUUCUGCUGCUGACCACUGGAAAAUAUUAA